GCCGUCAUAGCUUAGUUAGGUAGAGCAUCCGGCUGUUAACCGGACGGUCGUCGGUUCAAAUCCGGCUGACGGCG
rnacentral:tRNA from 2 species